rnacentral:lncRNA from 1 species
CAUAAUAUUACGACGAAGUUACCAGGCCCGCGUUUUCAUUUACGACGAAGUUACCAGGCCCGCGUUUUUCAAUUUACGACGAAAUUACGUCGAAACGUCGGUUUACGACGAAUUUACCAGGCUCGCGUUUACGGCGAAGUUACCAGGCCCGCGUUUUUCCAUUUACGACGAAAUUAUGUGGAAUCGAUUUAACCAUUUACGACGAAGUUACCAUGCACGUGUUAUUUUUACAACGAUUUUACAACGCUUAACCCUAAACACCGAGAAUGAAAUCCCUAAACCCCAAAGUCACAUAUCAUCUAACAUCAUAUCUCUUUUCUACUACUUUGUGCUCUUUCUCCAACUUAAACUCUAAAACCCUA